AGUGGGAGCCUCUUAAUGGGGUGACUGCGUACCUUUUGUAUAAUGGGUCAGCGACUUAUAUUCUGUAGCAAGGUUAACCGAAUAGGGGAGCCGAAGGGAAACCGAGUCUUAACUGGGCGUUAAGUUGCAGGGUAUAGACCCGAAACCCGGUGAUCUAGCCAUGGGCAGGUUGAAGGUUGGGUAACACUAACUGGAGGACCGAACCGACUAAUGUUGAAAAAUUAGCGGAUGACUUGUGGCUGGGGGUGAAAGGCCAAUCAAACCGGGAGAUAGCUGGUUCUCCCCGAAAGCUAUUUAGGUAGCGCCUCGUGAAUUCAUCUCCGGGGGUAGAGCACUGUUUCGGCAAGGGGGUCAUCCCGACUUACCAACCCGAUGCAAACUGCGAAUACCGGAGAAUGUUAUCACGGGAGACACACGGCGGGUGCUAACGUCCGUCGUGAAGAGGGAAACAACCCAGACCGCCAGCUAAGGUCCCAAAGUCAUGGUUAAGUGGGAAACGAUGUGGGAAGGCCCAGACAGCCAGGAUGUUGGCUUAGAAGCAGCCAUCAUUUAAAGAAAGCGUAAUAGCUCACUGGUCGAGUCGGCCUGCGCGGAAGAUGUAACGGGGCUAAACCAUG
rnacentral:rRNA from 1 species